rnacentral:rRNA from 1 species
GUUUGAUCAUGGCUCAGGAUGAACGCUAGCGGCAGGCUUAAUACAUGCAAGUCGAACGGCAAGUUGAAUAGCAAUAUUUGACCUAGAGUGACGUACGGGUGCGUAACACGUAUGCAACCUACCCAAAACUGGAGGAUAGCUCGGGGAAACUCGAAUUAACCCUCCAUAAGAUCAUAGAGUAGCAUUACUCAGUGAUUAAAACUCCGGUGGUUUUGGAUGGGCAUGCGUCUGAUUAGUUAGUUGGCGGGGUAACGGCCCACCAAGACGAUGAUCAGUAGGGGAACUGAGAGGUUGAUCCCCCACACUGGCACUGAGAUACGGGCCAGACUCCUACGGGAGGCAGCAGUAGGGAAUAUUGGUCAAUGGAUGCAAGUCUGAACCAGCCAUGCCGCGUGCAGGAAGAAGCGUUAUGCCUUGUAAACUGCUUUUGCCAGGGAUAAAAUUUCCUUGCGAGGAACAUUGAAGGUACCUGGUGAAUAAGCCACGGCUAACUACGUGCCAGCAGCCGCGGUAAUACGUAGGUGGCAAGCGUUGUCCGGAUUUAUUGGGUUUUAAAGGGUGCGUAGGC